rnacentral:lncRNA from 1 species
UACACUCUAGAUUGACAGAACACUGUCAUGUCCUUUAGGGGCAGACACAUUGGGGACUUCAGGAGAAGAUCCAUCUGCUUCCCCUCAACAAAACAAUACAAUCCAAUACAUCUUACUGGCUGUUUUACCAGUCAUACUGAUCAUCGCUGGAGUGGCUUUGUACAUAUACAAGAGAAACAAAGGAAAGAAAAACACGGAGGAGAAAAGUAGUGGGGGCAAAACAGAAGGAGAGAAAAAGGAUGAGUCCUCUGCAAUGUGUGCCAUGAUUGCAGACAGAAACACUGGUUUAGGCGACAAGAUAACAAUACCGCUCAGUGCACCAG